GGGUUGUGAGGUUAAGCGACUAAGCGUACACGGUGGAUGCCCUGGCAGUCAGAGGCGAUGAAGGACGUGCUAAUCUGCGAUAAGCGUCGGUGAGGUGAUAUGAACCGUUAUAACCGGCGAUUUCCGAAUGGGGAAACCCAGUGUGUUUCGACACACUAUCAUUAACUGAAUCCAUAGGUUAAUGAGGCGAACCGGGGGAACUGAAACAUCUAAGUACCCCGAGGAAAAGAAAUCAACCGAGAUUCCCCCAGUAGCGGCGAGCGAACGGGGAGGAGCCCAGAGCCUGAAUCAGUGUGUGUGUUAGUGGAAGCGUCUGGAAAGGCGUGCGAUACAGGGUGACAGCCCCGUACACAAAAAUGCACAUAUUGUGAGCUCGAUGAGUAGGGCGGGACACGUGGUAUCCUGUCUGAAUAUGGGGGGACCAUCCUCCAAGGCUAAAUACUCCUGACUGACCGAUAGUGAACCAGUACCGUGAGGGAAAGGCGAAAAGAACCCCGGCGAGGGGAGUGAAAAAGAACCUGAAACCGUGUACGUACAAGCAGUGGGAGCCUCUUAAUGGGGUGACUGCGUACCUUUUGUAUAAUGGGUCAGCGACUUAUAUUCUGUAGCAAGGUUAACCGAAUAGGGGAGCCGAAGGGAAACCGAGUCUUAACUGGGCGUUAAGUUGCAGGGUAUAGACCCGAAACCCGGUGAUCUAGCCAUGGGCAGGUUGAAGGUUGGGUAACACUAACUGGAGGACCGAACCGACUAAUGUUGAAAAAUUAGCGGAUGACUUGUGGCUGGGGGUGAAAGGCCAAUCAAACCGGGAGAUAGCUGGUUCUCCCCGAAAGCUAUUUAGGUAGCGCCUCGUGAAUUCAUCUCCGGGGGUAGAGCACUGUUUCGGCAAGGGGGUCAUCCCGACUUACCAACCCGAUGCAAACUGCGAAUACCGGAGAAUGUUAUCACGGGAGACACACGGCGGGUGCUAACGUCCGUCGUGAAGAGGGAAACAACCCAGACCGCCAGCUAAGGUCCCAAAGUCAUGGUUAAGUGGGAAACGAUGUGGGAAGGCCCAGACAGCCAGGAUGUUGGCUUAGAAGCAGCCAUCAUUUAAAGAAAGCGUAAUAGCUCACUGGUCGAGUCGGCCUGCGCGGAAGAUGUAACGGGGCUAAACCAUGCACCGAAGCUGCGGCAGCGACACUAUGUGUUGUUGGGUAGGGGAGCGUUCUGUAAGCCUGUGAAGGUGGCCUGUGAGGGUUGCUGGAGGUAUCAGAAGUGCGAAUGCUGACAUAAGUAACGAUAAAGCGGGUGAAAAGCCCGCUCGCCGGAAGACCAAGGGUUCCUGUCCAACGUUAAUCGGGGCAGGGUGAGUCGACCCCUAAGGCGAGGCCGAAAGGCGUAGUCGAUGGGAAACAGGUUAAUAUUCCUGUACUUGGUGUUACUGCGAAGGGGGGACGGAGAAGGCUAUGUUGGCCGGGCGACGGUUGUCCCGGUUUAAGCGUGUAGGCUGGUUUUCCAGGCAAAUCCGGAAAACCAAGGCUGAGGCGUGAUGACGAGGCACUACGGUGCUGAAGCGACAAAUGCCCUGCUUCCAGGAAAAGCCUCUAAGCAUCAGGUAACAUCAAAUCGUACCCAAAACCGACACAGGUGGUCAGGUAGAGAAUACCAAGGCGCUUGAGAGAACUCGGGUGAAGGAACUAGGCAAAAUGGUGCCGUAACUUCGGGAGAAGGCACGCUGAUAUGUAGGUGAAGCGACUUGCUCGUGGAGCUGAAAUCAGUCGAAGAUACCAGCUGGCUGCAACUGUUUAUUAAAAACACAGCACUGUGCAAACACGAAAGUGGACGUAUACGGUGUGACGCCUGCCCGGUGCCGGAAGGUUAAUUGAUGGGGUUAGCGGUAACGCGAAGCUCUUGAUCGAAGCCCCGGUAAACGGCGGCCGUAACUAUAACGGUCCUAAGGUAGCGAAAUUCCUUGUCGGGUAAGUUCCGACCUGCACGAAUGGCGUAAUGAUGGCCAGGCUGUCUCCACCCGAGACUCAGUGAAAUUGAACUCGCUGUGAAGAUGCAGUGUACCCGCGGCAAGACGGAAAGACCCCGUGAACCUUUACUAUAGCUUGACACUGAACAUUGAGCCUUGAUGUGUAGGAUAGGUGGGAGGCUUUGAAGUGUGGACGCCAGUCUGCAUGGAGCCGACCUUGAAAUACCACCCUUUAAUGUUUGAUGUUCUAACGUUGGCCCGUAAUCCGGGUUGCGGACAGUGUCUGGUGGGUAGUUUGACUGGGGCGGUCUCCUCCUAAAGAGUAACGGAGGAGCACGAAGGUUGGCUAAUCCUGGUCGGACAUCAGGAGGUUAGUGCAAUGGCAUAAGCCAGCUUGACUGCGAGCGUGACGGCGCGAGCAGGUGCGAAAGCAGGUCAUAGUGAUCCGGUGGUUCUGAAUGGAAGGGCCAUCGCUCAACG
rnacentral:rRNA from 1 species